rnacentral:rRNA from 1 species
AUACGUAGGUGGCAAGCGUUAUCCGGAAUUAUUGGGCGUAAAGAGGGAGCAGGCGGCAGCAAGGGUCUGUGGUGAAAGCCUGAAGCUUAACUUCAGUAAGCCAUAGAAACCAGGCAGCUAGAGGGCAGGAGAGGAUCGUGGAAUUCCAUGUGUAGCGGUGAAAUGCGUAGAUAUAUGGAGGAACACCAGUGGAGAAGGCGACGAUCUGGCCUGCAACUGACGCUCAGUCCCGAAAGCGUGGGGAGCAAAUAGGAUUAGAUACCCUAGUAGUCCACGCCGUAAACGAUGAGUACUAAGUGUUGGAUGUCAAAGUUCAGUGCUGCAGUUAACGCAAUAAGUACUCCGCCUGAGUAGUACGUUCGCAAGAAUGAAACUCAAAGGAAUUGACGGGG